UGUGGAAACUGCUAUAUGUAGUCGCGCAAAAUGUCAAAUUUGAUAUUGGUUUCACCCUGGGUCCGAUCUCAAUCUUCAAUCUCAACGUUGAUUGGAGGCGUCUUAUGGCUGUGUUUAAUAACAGCCAUGACCUUACACAGGCUGUAGAAUCAAACGACAACGUUGUUGCGGUGCCUGAGAACCGCAAUGUUCUUUACUGAAAUUCAACGUUAAUGUCAAUGGAUGCUUGCGUCAGAAGUCCAGAAGGAAACUAACGUUCUAGAAGAAACAUUCCAACAGGAAUUGGCAGAGUCCCUGUUGUUGUUAACAUAAAGAAUCCGGUCAAUAGCUUGAAGGGAUCAGUUCAAUCCACACCACGAAGUUCAUACAAAAUCAUUCGUUGAAAAAGACCAACAGAAUGUACGACGCAGAACCGUCUCGGUUCAUCAGAAGCUAGUGACAUCCAGCGAGCAGUAGGAAGUUGUGGUUAAGUCCGGGGAUUUCCGCAGCGCGGCAACUGACUACGCAUGGUUUCCGGCUCGAUCUGUGAAAAGCAGCGAGACUACCUUGAAUGUCUCUGGAGGUGUGUCAACACACUGUCGAAAAUCCGCCAAAGGAGUGGCCACAAUGAAUUAUUCGCAUGUUUGUUAGGCAAGUUUUUACACUGGAUGCCCUUCCUGAUGCAGCCCCUCUAAUGAUGCAGCCUCAGGACCGACACCAAACUCACUGGUUUGCAAGUCUUGCGCGAACCCGCAACCUGGUCGUCAGUAGCGCAAAGCGCUAACCACUGCGCCAGACGGCAGUAACCAACAAAAUAUUAACCGUUCUAGAAGGCGGCAAAGCUCGUCAGACAUCUCCAACAGGAAUCGGCAGAGUCAAGAGUCCAGCCAACGGCUGGGAGUGAUCGGUGCAAUCUGCACCACAGCAUUCAUACAGAAUCAUCUAAACAAGACUUGGUAAUUACUCGAGGCAGAACGAAGACUCUGGAAAACUCAGACUAAAAACAUACAACGUUUGGUCAGUUUCGGUAAAACGCAAGUCUCACUGCUACAGUCAACCAAGUCAACUUUCCAACGCCACCUGCAGUGGGCGCAACGCUGCAUUACUGCCACCUACUAUGCUUUACGUACUAUUGAAGAAAUCCCUCCUCUAAGCUCCCCAUGAGCUAUACGAUGUUGGACUGAGAGAAAGGAGCCCAAAAGAUUUUUGGCAAGGCUACAUACUGGAGGCGAAUAUUAAGGGGCCCCGGGACUUGAAUUGCUUCCAGUGUGUGAAGACAGAACCGGCAACAAAGAACAGAGGAGAAGUGAACUAACUGUUCUGAUUUAUGUAGCCACAAGAAACAUGGAGAGCUAUGCAUCCUGCUGCGUAGAUGGGUGGCGAAGGAGGACAAUGACAACCUGGAAGACCGGCUUGGCGCUACAUCAGAAGUCCACUAAACAGCACAUACCAGAGGUGUAUCAAUCAUUGCCCCGCUUAAAGGAGAAGGACACAAGUCCGGGGAUUUCCACAAUGCGGCAACUAACAACGCAUGGUUUCAAGCUCGAUCUGUGAAAAGCAGUAAGAAAAAAACAGCGAAACAACCUUGGAUGUCUCUGGUGGUGUAUCAACACACUGUCGAAAAUCCGCCAAAGUUUUCCCAAAGUGGCCACCAUUGUGAGAGCAAUGGAAGGGUGGUAGUCCUUUGGCCCCACCACCGGCUGGGAGUGAUCGGUGUGGUUCCCAAUUCAUACAAAAUCAUUUCAACAUCUAAACAGGACUUGGUAAGUAUUCGAGGCAGAAUGAAGACUCUGGAAAACUCAGACUGAAAACAAACGUUUGGUCGGCCUCGGUAAAACACAAGUCUCACUGCUACUGGAACCAAGUCAACUUUCCAACGCCACCUGCAGUGGGCGCAACGCCGCAUUACUGCCACCUGCUAUGCUGUGUCACGAUCUGGGUUUUGUUUCUUGUUGUUUCCUGUUCGUCGCAGUUGUUUCCUGUUUUAUUUUGUAAUACUUCCUGUUCAGUUGUCACGUCCUGGUUUUAGAUCUGCUUUUAUGUUGAAAGGACUUCCUGCCACGUCACAUCACAGCUGUUCCCUGUCAGUACCUGUCCUCAUUAUCCACAUCUGCACUUCAUCUGCUAUUAGUCCACCCCUUGUAUUUAAGCUCCACCUCUCACCCUUGUAAUUUGCCAGAUCGUUGUAUGUGUGUAAUCGUCAUUGUCCAGUUCGUUGAUCUAGCCCUGCCGUAUAUUGUGUACCCUGUUUUUGAUCGUUGAUUCCGAGCCUGCCUAAUCCCUGCCUGUCCUGUUUGCCUUGAUUAUCUACUGCUGCCUGUUACCGACCUUGCCUGCCUGACCACGAUCUGACGCCCAACGAUUUGGUAUUGUAACCCAUCUCUCGUGUAUGACUUUGCCUGUACCUGACGCCGUCUCUGCCUGAUCCUGUUUAAACCCCGUAUGAUCUCCCGCGUAUGACGCUGCCUGAAUUGGAUUCGCUAUCUGGAAUAAACUGUCCUCUUAUCAUCAUCAAAACGGUGUUGUGCUGUGCAUGUUGGUCCUCAUCCGUGCGAUCGUGACAUGCUGGAAUCAUUCAGAAUAUCCCUGAUUGAUUCCAGAGCACAUCUCUGCGUAAUGUGAUGUGGUUAAAUUGAUCACUAUAAGAAAUAAAGGGCUUAUGGUCUUAAUGUCGUAGUCAUGUGUUAUUUUCACCCCUGGUCUGUUUGUAUAAGUUAUGUGUUAAAAUGAGCAUUAAGAAUUGUGGGGGGGGGGGGUUCAGGAAAAGGCAUAUCUAAACAUUAUGAGGUUACAGUGGCUACAGUGCAACUUCAUAAUGUACAGUAUUAUUAAAAAAUAUAAGACAUGCUGUGAAAAAUCUUGGAGGACAUGGUCAGAAGCAGAGUGACACAUGUGCUUUCCAGGGGGAUGGUGGGAGAGGUAAAAAGAAUCUAAAUAUCAUUACCAAGGCCAUCCUGAUGAAGCUGGGCUCUGCUGGUGGCAGCAUCUCAAGACAGGAAGUGACGUAGUGGACUUUUUUAUUGGUUUUAUUUGGUUUGGUGUGUUUUUGUUGCAUGUUUUUAACAUUGCAUGUUUUGUAUUUUCAUGUAUUUUAAGUCAGGGCUUGGACUGCACUUUAGUUGUUGGAUCCAUUCCCUCUUGAGUAGACGCAGACAAACUUGAGAACACUGGACGUGCCAAGGACGUGGAGCCAGGACACACCUCCCGCGUCAGUGGGCAUCCCGGAGGAUGCCGUACAGCGUUUUUGGUGUGGAGCUGGUUCUGGUGGCCUGAAUUCAAAAAGUACGUCCAGGAAUACGUUGCCGCGUGUCCUCAUUGUGCUGCCCACAAAUCAUCCCAUCAGCGUCCGGCGAGCCUCCUGCACCCGCUCCCGGGGCCUCAUCGUCCAUGGUCGCACAUUGCUCUGGACUUUGUGACCGGACUACCGCCAUUGCAAGGGCAUACAGUAAUCUUGACAGUCAUUGACAGAUUCUCCCGGUUAACCCAUUUUUUUCCCAUGCCCAAUCUUCCGAACGCCAAACAGACGUCCCAAGCGGUGUUGGAGCACAUAUUCCGUCUCCAUGGAUUUCCCCAGGACGUAGUCUCCGACAGGAGUCCCCAAUUUGUCUUUCUCAGUUCUGGCGGGAGUUCUGCGCGUUGCUGGGAGCAGAGUCUCUCAGUCUCUCGUCUGGUUAUCACCCGGAGUCUGAUGGGCAAACGUAGAGACCCAAUCAGCAGUUGGAGACAGGACUCCGGAUACUCGCAUCUAAGAACCCGUCUACCUGGUCCAAGCAACUGACGUGGAUCAAAUACGCACACAACACCCUUCCAAGCUUGUCCACUGGUCUCACGCCUUUUCAAUAUGGGUUCCAGCCGCCUCUAUUUCCAGCCCUCAAAGAGGCACUCUUCUGAGCCUCUGUAUGCUGUGGGUAAGUGUGGCUGUCCACCAAGGACCUGCCGUUGCGGGUGGAAUCACGUAAGUUGGCACAGAGAUUCAUUGGGCCAUUUGCAAAAACCAAAGUCAUUAAUCCAGUCUCUGUCAAGCUCGCCUUGCCUAGGUCCAUGCGAAUCCACACCACGUUUCACGUCAGUCGCCUCAAGCCUGUCUGCGUCAGUCCACUGGUUCCUUCGGCUCCUCCACAACCUCCUCCACGGGUCAUUGAUGGUGGCCCUGCGUACAGUCAGGGCUCUCCUGGCUUGACGAGGCCAGGGCCAUCAGUACCUCGUUGACUGGGAGGGGUACAGGCCAGAAGAACGCUCAUGGGUUCCAGCCCAGGACAUCUUGGACGCCAACCUAAUCAAAGACUUUCAUCAGGCUCAUCUGGACCUCCCAGAUCUGUCUGGAAGCUGAGGUGGUUCUUUGAACCACUUUCUCUUUCUGUGCCUGUACUGUAGCUGUGCCUGGAACCACUGUGAACAUUAAAGACUGCGUACAUACCUGCUGGUCUCCAUCGCCAUGCAUGUGGUUCUGCUUUGUCAAGACACCUGCCAGCCCUGACAUCAGUCACAUUUUAGCAGCCACAUGUGUGAAGUUAACCAAUCCAUAAACAGGUCUUCUCUCAUUUCAGGCUCAUACGUAUGUGACAGAUUUCGAUGAGAUGAGCAACAUGGUGUUACCAGCCUUUGACUGAGAUAAAUACAGACACCUGCUCAGCCAGCAGAUGGGCUCCUCGGCCUGUAACAAGAAGCAGAGAUCACGUCAUCGGACCACCGGUCAUUCUUGACCCUACAAACUUUUGAUCCUCCAGCUUGUAAGAGUCGUGGUCAUGAACAACAGAAGAGACGAGUUGAGGAUUCCUGUCAAGCUACAGGAUGAUAAGUGGGGGAUUCUACAGAGACUGCACCCAACGAGAUGAAGGCUCUGCCUUAAAGUUGUGGGUUGUGAGCUGCCACCUGCUCGGCAUCCGCUGGUGAUAGACAGACAGUAUAAAUAAUACAAACUCCUGCUUGCCAUGAUGAAACAAAUAUCUAAUAUAGUGGUUUGUACCUGAUGCUGGUUUAUGACAAAAGUCAUUCUAAUUAAGUCUGAUAGAAGACACUCAAUGGCCAUAAAGAAAAGCUAAUAAAAAAAACAUUAUUAAUAGGUCAAA